rnacentral:misc_RNA from 1 species
GAUGAAGAACGUAGCGAAAUGCGAUACUUGGUGUGAAUUGCAGAAUCCCGUGAACCAUCGAGUCUUUGAACGCAAGAUGCGACCGAAGCCAAUAGGCCGAGGGCACGCCUGCCUAGGUGACACACACCGUUACCCUCGCGCCAACGUCCAUCGUUGGCCGCGGCGCGGGGCGUGCGCUGACCUCCCGCGAGCGGGGUCUCGUGGUUGGUUGAAAAUCGAGUUCGCGGUCGAGGGUGCCGUGAUGAAAUGGUGGAUGGGCGACGCCCGAGGCCAAUCACGCGCGACUCUGUCCGGCUCGGACUCCUGGACCCCUUCGGCGUCUCCGGACGCUCUUUGGCGAGACCUCAGGUCAGGCGGGGCUACCCGCUGAGUUUAAGCAUAUCAAUAAGCGGAGGA